rnacentral:tRNA from 2 species
GACCCAGGUGCUCACCGCGCGACGCAUCGAGCAGCCGCCUCCUAAGCGAAAGGUCGUAGGUUCGACUCCUACCUGGGGCACCG